AAUAGGUCAUGUGACUGAGCAUGCUGCUUCCUGGUGGCCACACAGACGUAGUGUGUGCUUCUGCCUCUGCUAACAUGAGGAGACACUGGGAAAAAAAGACCUUUCAAACCUGGCGAUGCGAACUUGUGACCAUUGUAGUGGAGUGAGGCAGGAGUUUCUUAAAUCAAAGUCCUUGAUAUGUGAAUGCAGAGGACUACGCCAGAUUCAGUGGACUGCGACGAUGACCAGCGUUUAAUUUUUUUAUUUCAAUAAAAUGGUUAACGAG